UGCAUCGGCCGGGAAUCGAACCCGGGCCUCCCGCGUUGCAGACGAGCAUUCUACCACUGAACCACCGAUGC
rnacentral:tRNA from 1 species